CACUGCUAAAUAGGAUUAGGUUUCUCUUCUGAAAUUUGAUCAUUUUGUCACUUACCCAGCGAGACGGGGCGGGGGGGGUGAGCCCUGAGGGAGGCUCUCGCUUUUGGCACCAAGUGCCCGGUGUGUGCCAGGCACGACCCACUGCAGGGCCAGCAGCAGGCGGGGUGUUUGACUGGGGCGGUACAGCUGUCCCAGUGUAACAUGGGUGUCCUAUGGCAGCUUGGGGGAUGGAAACCUCCCAGAAUCAUAGAAUCACAGAAUGGUUUGGGUUGGAAGGGACCUCCAAGAGCAUCUAGUUCCAACCCCCCUGCCAUGGGCAGGGGCACCCUCCACUACACCAGGUUGCCCAAAGCCUCAUCCAACCUGGCCUUGAACACUUCCAGGGAUGGGGCAUCCACAACUUCUCUGGGCAACGUGUUCCACUGCCUCACCACCCUCAGAUUGAAAAAUUUCUUCCUUAGAUCUAAUCAAAAUCUCCCCUCUUUCAGUUUAAAUCCAUUGCCCCUUGUCCUGUCACUACAUGCCCUUGUCCAAAGUCCCUCUCCAGGUUUCCUGUAGGCCCCCUUUAAGUACUGGAAGGCUGCUAUAAGAUCACCCUGGAGCCUUCUCUUCUCCAGGCUGAACAGCCCCAACUCUCUCAGCCUGUCUCCAUAGCAGAGGUGCUCCAGCCCUUGGAUCAUCUUCGAGGCCUCCUCUGGACCUUUUCCAGCAGCUCCAUGUCCUUCUUGUGCUGGGGACUCCAGAGCUGAACGCAGUAUUCCAGGUGGGGUCUCAGGAGAGCAGAGUAGAGGGGCAGUAGAAAGGCAAAAGCUCACUUGAUCUUGAUUUUCAGUACGAAUACAGACCAUGGGAGCGGGGCCUCACGAUCCUUCUGACUUUUGGGUUUUAAGCAGGAGGUGUCAGAACAGUCACCACAGGGAUAGCUGGCUCGUGGCGGCCGAGCGUUCAUAGCGAUGUCGCUUUCUGAUCCUUCAAUGUCAACUCUUCCUCCAUUGUGAAGCAUAAUUCACCACGCGUUGGAUUGUUCACCCGCUAGUAGGGAACGCGAGCGGAACAUUGUAAGAUUUCUCACUU
rnacentral:ncRNA from 1 species